GGGAGUGGCAGACGGGUGAGUAACACGUGGGAACCUUCCCUAUAGUACGGAAUAGCCCAGGGAAACUUGGAGUAAUACCGUAUACGCCCGAGAGGGGAAAGAUUUAUCGCUAUAGGAUGGGCCCGCGUAGGAUUAGCUAGUUGGUGAGGUAAUGGCUCACCAAGGCGACGAUCCUUAGCUGGUUUGAGAGAAUGACCAGCCACACUGGGACUGAGACACGGCCCAGACUCCUACGGGAGGCAGCAGUGGGGAAUCUUGGACAAUGGGCGCAAGCCUGAUCCAGCCAUGCCGCGUGAGUGAUGAAGGCCUUAGGGUUGUAAAGCUCUUUUGCCGGGGAAGAUAAUGACGGUACCCGGAGAAUAAGUCCCGGCUAACUUCGUGCCAGCAGCCGCGGUAAUACGUAGGGUGCAAGCGUUAAUCGGAAUUACUGGGCGUAAAGCGUGCGCAGGCGGUUUUGUAAGUCUGUCGUGAAAGCCCCGGGCUCAACCUGGGAAUUGCGAUGGAGA
rnacentral:rRNA from 1 species